GAAGAAACAAACUCAUCCUGAUCUUGGAUGACCUGAGGCUCGCUGUCUGUGAUCUUCAGGAGUGUCCAGUCUCACGCUGUUAACCGGGUUAGUGGUCAUCGGGCGGUUGUCUGAACUGCUGCUGUCCAGAUGUCAGCACCCGGAUCACUGGAGGACUCUGGCCACCAGAUCCAGUCUGUAUCCAAGUCAGAGGGUCACUGCAGUCACCCGGAUCCAGUAUGUAAAGGACCUCUACAGCCCUGAAAGACAGCGGAGACCAGGACAACUAGAGCCCCAGAGACAGAUCUCCUGUAAAGACCUUGUCUCAGACGACCACCGGGACAAGACCACAGGAACCUGUUGAAUCCUCUGCACAACCUGACUUUGCUGCAGCCUGGAAUUGAACUGCUGGUUUCGUCUGGUCAGAGGAGAACUGGCCCCCCGACUGAGGCUGGUUUCUCCCAAGGUUUUUUUCUCCAUUCUGUCACUGAUGGAGUUUUGGUUCCUUGCCGCUGUCGCCUCUGGCUUGCUUAGUUGGGGACACUUCAUUUACAGUGAUAUCGUUGACUUGAUUGCAAAUUAUUGCACAGAUACUAUUUAAACUGAACUGAGCUGCAUGAUGACAUCACUGAAUUCAAUGAUGAACUGCCUUUAACUGUCAUUUUGCAUUAUUGACACUGUUUUCCUAAUUAAUGUUGUUCAGUUGCUUUCACACAAACUGUUUUGUUUAAAGCGGUAUUUAAA
ensembl:lncRNA